UACGUAGGGCGCAAGCGUUAUCCGGAAUUAUUGGGCGUAAAGAGCUCGUAGGCGGUUUGUCGCGUCUGCCGUGAAAGUCCGGGGCUCAACUCCGGAUCUGCGGUGGGUACGGGCAGACUAGAGUGAUGUAGGGGAGACUGGAAUUCCUGGUGUAGCGGUGAAAUGCGCAGAUAUCAGGAGGAACACCGAUGGCGAAGGCAGGUCUCUGGGCAUUAACUGACGCUGAGGAGCGAAAGCAUGGGGAGCGAACGGG
rnacentral:rRNA from 2 species